AUGGCGGCGGGGUUGCCGGCGCUAUCUGCGGAGGAGGAGGGAGGAGAGGGUGCGGGGGUGGGCCGAAUCGGAGGCAUCUUCAGCGCGGAGGAGUGGAGAGAAAUUAAGGCGAGAUCGAAGCAAAUCCUGCGGACUGCCGCGGACCGGAAGAGCUGCCUGGGAAGAUUGAAGAAGAGGGCGGAGGAAAUCUUGGGCGGAUCCUCAGGUGAGCCUGCUUCUAAUUAUGGAAGAGGAUUGUCGGAUCCCUUCUGUCCAGGAGAGGUGAUUCUGCCAUCUGUAGAAUUUAGGGAUAGAAUUAAAAAGGAAAAGGAGAUAGGAAAGAAAGAGGAUUCGGUGUUGAUCUCUACUGGUUAUGGGAGGAUCCCGAAUUUCUAG
rnacentral:rRNA from 1 species